rnacentral:lncRNA from 1 species
ACAAAAGUCUGUUGCACCAUUUUUGCAAGAGGCUAUGUCCACAGGAACCUGUGAUGACCUCCAAUUACGUAACAGUAACUUUACAUGUUAUUUCAAAGCUCUCUUUCGAAAAAAGUUGAAACAAGAGGAGAGUAAACCUUGUAUUCAUUGGACUUGAAUGACACUGGCCCGUCAUCUUAGUGGACCAAGCAAAAAAGGUGGUGGUGUGGUCUAGUUAGGCAGCCCAUCAGUUGAAUGACACUGGCCCGUCAUCUUAGUGGACCAAGCAAAAAAGGUGGUGGUCUAGUUAGGCAGCCCAUCAGGCAUUCCUUCCUUGGACUUGUGUGACACCGGCCAGUGAUCAUCUUAGCAGACCAAGGAAAAAAAGUGGUGGUCUAGUUAGGCAGCCCAUCAGGCAUUCCUUGGACUUGUGCAACACCGGCCUGUAAUCCUUCCACUGCCCAAAGCGGGAGCUGUUCGUUGCUCUGUGCAACCAGCCUCACGCAAUCCACCCCACUUUAGGAGCCAAGUUGCCCAAGCCUUCGCCUGGACCACGUGACCCAACUCUGUGCUUGGAGAGGGCAGGCCAGAGAAUCGCAACACAAGCCCUACCCUUUGGACAGGCCUACGCAUUCUACCACAUUAAUGCCCCCACUUGGGUUACAAGCCCAUGUUACUGAGCUCAGCAAUAUGAGGUGUGUUCUCUAGUGCUAAUAAAGAGGCAAAUAACUAUGUGUAUCAGCAAUGUGGGAGAACACUUGGGGAAAAAAAGGAUAAAUUAUGUCUAGGAAACGAUAAAUUGUCAUCUUUUCCUUUUCUUUUUAUAAAACUUUGUUGCUUCACAGUCUGCC